GCGCCCGUAGCUCAAUUGGAUAGAGCGCCAGAUUACGGAUCUGGAGGUUAGGAGUUCGACUCUUCUCGGGCGCGCCA
rnacentral:tRNA from 1 species